CAAGGGUGCGUUGAGGAGUUGCGGCUGGUGCCUCCCUGCAUCCUGCCUCCUGUGGAAGGACCGGCUCUAUACAGCUAACUGGGACACGGGAGGCCCUCCUCCUGCGCAUCCUUGGGAGGCAGAGCAGAUGAGGACUCAGACUGUGGGAAGCCAUGGAUGUCACCCAGCCAUCGCUUUUCUCCGCGAGGGUCUCACCGAGUCGCCCAGGCUGGCCCUGAACUUGCGCUCCUCCUGCCUCAGCCUCCCGAGUUCCUGCGAUUUCUACCGUGCCUGGCUUCCUGGAUCAGUUUCUGAACGUGCCUUUUCUCUCCGACCCUCCUCCCUGGCUCGGAUUUGGUUUCUGGCAUAAAUACUUUCAGCCUUC